rnacentral:lncRNA from 1 species
CCCCUUCUCACUCUCCCCACCCCCUGCCCCGUGUAUGUGUAUGCAGAGAGCUGGAAAAAGCUGGCAGCACUACCUGAAUAGCUGCUGAAAGAGUGAGACUUCUCAGUUCCUGCUUCAUUACUGGGUAGCAGCUAUUCCAGUGUGUGCGAGCUCCCAACUGCCUCCUCCCAUCGAAAAGCCCUUGGCUGGAAGGCUUCUCAAGGGAAAGAGGGACAGUCUGGAGAAAACAAGACUGAAAAGGAAUACAAGUUGCCCAAAAUCCCCACAGCACCAGUUCUUCCUUCACCAGGCCACUGACUCCAAGGAGGCAUCUAGACAGAUUUUGCUGCAGAUUUCACAGGUCAGUACUGCCAUAUUCAAAGCACAAGCCUUGCAAACUCAGAAAAGACAUUUGCAUGC